UACGUAGGGUGCAAGCGUUGUCCGGAAUUAUUGGGCGUAAAGAGCUCGUAGGCGGUCUGUUGCGUCGGCUGUGAAAUCCCGAGGCUCAACCUCGGGCCUGCAGUGGGUACGGGCAGACUAGAGUGCGGUAGGGGGAGAUUGGAAUUCCUGGUGUAGCGGUGGAAUGCGCAGAUAUCAGGAGGAACACCAAUGGCGAAGGCAGAUCUCUGGGCCGUAACUGACGCUGAGGAGCGAAAGCAUGGGGAGCGAACAGG
rnacentral:rRNA from 1 species